GCCUCAGUACGGCGAGUGAAGCGGCAAAAGCUCAAAUUUGAAAUCUAGCACUUUCAGUGUUCGAGUUGUAAUUUGAAGAAAGUCUCCUUGAAUAGUCCUUUAUCUAUGUUCCUUGGAACAGGACGUCAUAGAGGGUGAGAACCCCGUAUGAUUUUGGAUCCUAUUCUCUGUGGGAGUCUUUCGAAGAGUCGAGUUGUUUGGGAAUGCAGCUCUAAGUGGGUGGUAAAUUCCAUCUAAAGCUAAAUAUUGGCGAGAGACCGAUAGCGAACAAGUACAGUGAUGGAAAGAUGAAAAGAACUCUGAAGAGAGAGUGAAAAAGUACGUGAAAUUGCUGAAAGGGAAGGGCUUGAGGUCAGACUUGGUGUUUAAUGAUUAUCUUCUUUUCUUAAGUUGUGCACUCGUUUUUCACUGGGCCAAUAUCAGUUUUUGUAGUAGAGCACCUCUUGAAAUGUGAUUUCCUUCGGGGAGUGUUAUAGUCUUGAGACGAUCUACUACGGGGACUGAGGACUGCGCGUUAUGCUAGGAUAUUGGCGUAAUGACCUUAAGCCGCCCGUCUG
rnacentral:rRNA from 1 species